GGACGGCCUUUGUCUUCUCACAUGCUUGUAGGCAGAAUGGGAAAGCACCUUCCCCCAGAUCUGAAUGCAGCAUGGGAAAGCACAAGCUUGAGAACAACUGGUGUAGUCCUUGGAAGUUAUCUGCCCACAAAAACAUAUCUUGUCCUCGAAGACGAGCCAAGACUCCUCACUCUGAAAAUAGGGAGACCUUGAGGAUGUGUGAAAACACCACCCCUGCUUCUGGCCUGCCCCCCCCGAGAAGGGAAAGAUGAGUAUAGCACUUGGCUGAGGUCCGAGAAAGGCAGUAUAAAAAUAAAGGUGCUGUGCCACAUUGGGGCUGCAGCCAUUGUCUGUCUGUCUGUGUUGUCUGUGUUUUUUGUUCUCUCAUUUCACCCAAAGAAGAUGAGCGGCACACUACAUCAGGCACCCAAACGUGGGGCGUCCUCUCAGAGUGAGUUGUACAUAUAUUCAGCUCCACACCUCCCCUUCAGACUGUUCGACUUUGACGGCAGGCACCGUCACAUGGCACCCGAACAGGGACCUGAAGUACAGAGGAGAAAGUGAGAGCCGGCGCCAGAUAAUAGUGCCCACGAAGCAGGCAGAAUGGGAAAGCACCUUCCCCCACGUCUGAAUACAGCAUGGGAAAGCACAAGCUUGAGAACAACCGGUGCCGUCCUUGGAAGUUACCUGCCCACAAAAACAUAUCUUGCCCUCGAAGAUGAGCCAAGACUCCUCACUCUGAAAAUAGGGAGACCUUGAGGAUGUGUGAAAACACCGCCCCUGCUUCUGGCCUGCCCCCCCCGAGAAGGGAAAGAUGAGUAUAGCACUUGGCUGAGGUCCGAGAAAGGCAGUAUAAAAAUAAAGGUGCUGUGCCACAUUGGGGCUGCAGCCAUUGUCUGUC